AGGUGGCAGGACUAUCCUUUGAAGUGGCCUGCCAGGCAGGUCUAGGAGGUCAGGACCUCCACCCCCAACCCAAGCACAAGGAAGCUCCCUUGUUAGCCUCAGCAAAUGUCUCAAGGAAGCUAUGUAGAGAGGCAGAUUUGGAAGAGUAUAGAGCCAGAGGGUAGCUGAGAAAUUGAGAAUCUGCAUGUGGGAUGUUGGGUGUUUUCAUGUUUGUUAGCGUUUUUCUAUGCAGGCUGCUGGGCAGACCCAUUCUGUCUAUGGACACUUGUUUCUAUUCCAUGGAUCUGGGCCCCUGGAGGGAAUUUUGUGUGAGGAUGCCUGGAAUAGGGGUGGUUG